GUCUACGGCCAUGCCACCCUAAACAAGCCCAAUGUCUGAUCUUAGAAGCUUAGCAGGGUCGGGCCUGGUUAGUACUUGGAUGGGAGACCACAGUAUCUAGGAAUACCAGGUGCUAUAGGCA
rnacentral:rRNA from 1 species